rnacentral:lncRNA from 1 species
CGAUGAAUAAGCAAGGUGGUCCUUUAAAUCACAGCUCUGGAAGUUUCUGCAAAAAUACCUCUUUGCACAAAAAAACAAAAAUUGGGUGAUCUUUAAGGUCCCUUUCAACACAAAUCAUUAUAUGAUUCUAAAUUUAAGAGAAAAUAUGAAGAAGCCCUGGAGCCCUGACUUACCAGCUGAUAACCACUUGUAUAAUUCAGAUUUCGCAUCCAUCCCAGGCAGAGAAAGUGAGAAAGAAUUAGCACCUGAUGGCACUGAAGAAAAGAAGGAGAGAGAAAAGAAACAGACCAAUUUCACUUUGUGCAGUGUUUGUAACAUUCAGCUGAACUCUGCUGCUCAGGCACAAAUCCACUACAAUGGCAAAUCCCAUCAGAAGAGGUUAAAACAGCUCAGCAAUGGAAAUCUCAAAAGUGAUAAUGGACACAUGAAUCUUCUGCUAUGCACAGGUUUCAACAUAUGGCUUUCCUCAGUAAUUCUGCAGAUGCUCCUAAGGUUUAGAAUUUAUUAUAUCUUCAUCUCUGGAGUUGAUAGCUUUCUUCUUCAUUUUUUUAAUUUUUGUUUUUAAUUGAUUACAGAGAAUCCAGCAA